rnacentral:lncRNA from 1 species
AUGUCACAGAAUACAAGUGAUCCUGUGUCCCUGGAGAUUACUAGAGAGCAGAAGCUUAAGAAAAUUCACCCAAGCUGCAAAGACUUCAAGUACAAACCCUGUGAUGGAUUGUGUGUUGGUUACCUAAGGAGCAUCCUAGUUACACUAGGAAAGGCUUGUCACCAGAAGGCUGGCCACCAGCUGUUGAUUUUUUUUUUUUUGCCACAACAGUUCAUGAAGACUACAGAGGCAUGGAUGGGUUGUAAUCUACAUCUGUGGAGUACCCACACCAAUGAAAUUAUGAUUCUUUUUGAAGUUUUGAAGGAAGGUAAAAAUUUGAACACGAUCCAGGCUUCAGUGGUUGCAGUGGAUAAGAAGUUUAAAAGCUUUGGUUCAAGAAAAUUUAAAGACAUGGAAGUAAGGAUCCAGUGACAGGACGCUAUUCUCCCUGGGAAUUCUGAAGACUAUAAAGCGUUGAAAAAUCGAAUUCAUGAUCCUGGAACUCGAGCUCAUAUUAAGAAAUGUCAGGUUGGUAGGGGUUCCUGAAGUUUGUAAAUAGGCUAAGCUAUAUCUUUUCAGAAUUCAUUAAGAAGUUAGCAUUUGGGAAUGGGUGCUUUAAAUUUUUUCAUUUACAUUUUGUAAUCAUACUGCAGAUAGUAGAAAAUGAUAAUAGGUACAGUCCUAUUAAUGUUUUAUCAAAGUUGUUGGGACUUAAGAGAUUUUUUCCCCCUCCCUUCAUUAUACCAUUUUCUUUGCUAUUUAAAGAUUUCUUCUAACUAAAAGUAUUAAUCCAGUGAGUUUGGGGCAUAAUUUUGUGAGUUCUUCAUGACUUGCAGGGGGGAAAUUUCCAUUAUGUACCUACAUAUACUUUCUCCAAAAGAAUUGUUACAUAAUAGGAUGGUAACUGGGCAAAGUUAACAUUUUUUUAAUGUAUACUUUCUACCUUAAUGUCAUUAUUGUUGACUAUAUCUACAUGCCAUUUUAUCCAUAUUAAAUUUUUGCAUAUUUAAAAGAUGGGCUUGUGGAGGCUUGAAUUGAAGAUGUCUCAGGCUUAGUUUGAGGCAUUCAGUAGCCAGAUUAUCUUAAUUCAGGAUAAGUAGGAAUUCCUGAACCCAAAUAUGGUCAGUGACUAGAAAUGGAAUAUUCUAGAAUCAUCUUGCUGAGCUUUGGAGGAGAGAGUGGUACUUCAACCCUUGUUUUUAAGUUAUUUUUAAGUUUGUCUAUUGCUAUACCAUAUAUAUAUAUAUUCAGAAUACUUCAAGAGGUUUUAAAAACUUGAUUGUAAUUAGAUGAAAUAGUAAUAAAACAUUUGAAAAUUAUACUUGAGACUAGUUU